GACGAACGCUGGCGGCGUGCCUAAUACAUGCAAGUCGAACGAACCGCGACUGAGUGCUUGCACUUGGUCAAGGCGAGUGGCGAACGGGUGAGUAACACGUGGGUAACCUACCUCAUAGUGGGGGAUAACAGUCGGAAACGACUGCUAAUACCGCAUAGGACAUAGGAUCACAUGAUCCAGUGAGGAAAGGUGGCGCAAGCUAUCGCUAAGAGAUGGACCCGCGGUGCAUUAGCUAGUUGGUAGGGUAAAGGCCUACCAAGGCGAUGAUGCAUAGCCGACCUGAGAGGGUGAUCGGCCACAUUGGGACUGAGACACGGCCCAAACUCCUACGGGAGGCAGCAGUAGGGAAUCUUCCGCAAUGGACGCAAGUCUGACGGAGCAACGCCGCGUGAGUGAAGAAGGUCUUCGGAUCGUAAAGCUCUGUUGUUAGAGAAGAACAGCGCAUAGAGUAACUGCUAUGCGUGUGACGGUAUCUAACCAGAAAGCCACGGCUAACUACGUG
rnacentral:rRNA from 1 species